UUUCCUACGCAACGUUCAUCGGCGUAGGGUGAGUCGGCCCCUAAGGCGAGGCAGAAAUGCGUAGUCGAUGGGAAACAGGUUAAUAUUCCUGUACUUGAUUCAAAUGCGAUGUGGGGACGGAGAAGGUUAGGUUAGCAAGCUGUUGGAAUAGCUUGUUUAAGCCGGUAGGUGGAAGACUUAGGCAAAUCCGGGUCUUCUUAACACCGAGAAGUGACGACGAAUGUCUACGGACAUGAAGUAACCGAUACCACGCUUCCAGGAAAAGCCACUAAGCUUCAGUUUGAAUCGAACCGUACCGCAAACCGACACAGGUGGGCAGGAUGAGAAUUCUAAGGCGCUUGAGAGAACUCGGGAGAAGGAACUCGGCAAAUUGAUACCGUAACUUCGGGAGAAGGUAUGCCCUCUAAUGUAAAGGACUUGCUCCGGAAGCAUCUGAGGGUCGCAGAGAAUCGGUGGCUGCGACUGUUUAUUAAAAACACAGCACUCUGCAAACACGAAAGUGGACGUAUAGGGUGUGACGCCUGCCCGGUGCUGGAAGGUUAAUUGAAGAUGUGAGAGCAUCGGAUCGAAGCCCCAGUAAACGGCGGCCGUAACUAUAACGGUCCUAAGGUAGCGAAAUUCCUUGUCGGGUAAGUUCCGACCCGCACGAAUGGCGUAACGAUGGCCACACUGUCUCCUCCCGAGACUCAGCGAAGUUGAAAUGGUUGUGAAGAUGCAAUCUCCCCGCUGCUAGACGGAAAGACCCCGUGAACCUUUACUGUAGCUUUGCAUUGGACUUUGAAGUCACUUGUGUAGGAUAGGUGGGAGGCUUAGAAGCAGAGACGCUAGUUUCUGUGGAGCCGUCCUUGAAAUACCACCCUGGUGACUUUGAGGUUCUAACCCAGACCCGUAAUCCGGGUCGGGGACCGUGCAUGGUAGGCAGUUUGACUGGGGCGGUCUCCUCCCAAAGAGUAACGGAGGAGUUCGAAGGUUACCUAGGUCCGGUCGGAAAUCGGACUGAUAGUGCAAUGGCAAAAGGUAGCUUAACUGCGAGACCGACAAGUCGAGCAGGUGCGAAAGCAGGACAUAGUGAUCCGGUGGUUCUGUAUGGAAGGGCCAUCGCUCAACGGAUAAAAGGUACUCCGGGGAUAACAGGCUGAUU
rnacentral:rRNA from 1 species